rnacentral:misc_RNA from 1 species
CGAUAGUGAAACUAACUUCUACGAUGGAAGCAUGGAUGCACAGGAUGGCCUGGGUAUGGGAUUUGGUCUUCCAACUGAGAGUGAACGGUCCUUGAUGGAGCGUGUCAGGCACGAGCUGAAGCAUGAACUGAAACAGGGCUACAAAGAGAAGAUUGUCGACAUCAGGGAAGAGAUUCUACGCAAGCGAAGAGCUGGGAAACUCCCAGGAGAUACCACUUCUACCUUGAAGGCAUGGUGGCAGUCCCACUCCAAAUGGCCUUACCCGACGGAGGAUGAUAAGGCACGAUUGGUGAAGGAAACGGGAUUGCAACUCAAGCAGAUAAAUAACUGGUUCAUUAAUCAAAGGAAACGAAACUGGCACAACAAUCCAUCGUCAUCCACUGUAACAAAGAGCAAACGGAAGAGCAAUGCAGGUGACACCAACUCCGAACGCUACACAUAGUUGAAUGUUUGAUACUGAAGGCCAAAAGAGCCAUGUUUGCUAUUUCACGGGAUUUCACUAGAUGGUAAGUAAACAACAUAUAUUG